rnacentral:rRNA from 1 species
UUAUUUUANCCCGGGUAAUGGAAUAGGACGUGUGGUUCUAUUUUGUUGGUUUCUAGGACCGCNGUAAUGAUUCAUAGGGAUNGUCGGGGGCAUCAGUAUUCAAUUGUCAGAGGUGAAAUUCUCGGAUUUAUUGAAGACUAACUACUGCGAAAGCNUUUGCCAAGGAUGUUUCAUUAUCAGUGAACGAAAGUUAGGGGAUCGAAGACGAUCAGAUACCGUGGUAGUCUUAACCAUAAACUAUGCAGACUAGGGAUCAGGCGAUGUCAUCUUUUUGACUCGCUCGGCACCCUCCGAGAAAUCAAAGUCUAUGGGUUUUGGGGGGAGUAUGGCCGCAAGGCGGAAACUCAAAGAAAGUGACGGAAGGGCACCACCAGGAGUGGAGCNGGCGGCUUAAUUUGACUCAACACGGGGAAACUCACCAGGUCCAGACACCAUAAGACCAGACUCCCCCAAAAAUCCAUCGAGAUUUAUUGGGUGUUGGUGCAUGACCGUUUUUAGUUGAGGAGUGAUUUGUAUCCUUAAUUGGGAUAGCGAACGAGACCUUAACCUGCGGAAUANCCCGGCUAGCUUCCCUGGUCGNUGGUUUAUUAGAGGGAGAAUAGGCCCAAGCCGAGGAAGUGCAGGCAAUAACAGGUCUAAGUUGCCGAAGAUGUUUGGGCCGCACGCGCGUUACACCCACAGAGCCAACGAGUUCAUCACCNUGGUCGAAAGNUCUAUGCAGGCAGUUAACGGGU